CCCCUUCUGCGGUCCCCUCCAUUGUCUGCGUGACAAAGUGGACGUAGAACUCCCCCAUUUCCUGCCCAGGGCGGGUGAGGACCCUGCACACACACGGUGUGUUUGUGAGCUGUGCAGAGUGGGGUCUCCCUGGCAAUGGCCACAGCCUCCAGGGGCGCUGACACCUCCCGUCUAACUGGUAGACAGUUUCUGCCUCUUCUUGUUUGGGGAUUGGAGAGGGAAGUGCGUCUGGAUGACUACUAAGAUGAGGAGGCUGAGGCCUAGUGCUCCUAGCGGGCUUGGUCAAGAGCAGGAGGCGGAGGUGGUGGAAGGCUGUUUCCCUGCGAGAAUACACUGCAUCGAACACAGAACAAAAAGACUCACUACAACGCUGCAGCCACAAUAGUGUGUGAUUUCAAGUCUUAAAAACCAGAAUCACUUUCUUCUCUGGACUGGAAGCAUAUUUAUUUUGGCCGCCCUGCUGUCACCUACGGAAAACAGAGAACCUGGGGGGAUGUGCUGAAGGCAGCUCCUGAGCCUUCCCACUCCCCACACGCCCUCACAUCAGCAGCAGAGCCCGGGGCUGACGGAGUGGGUUUCUCUGGGAAGGACUCUGCCCUUGGAUAGAUCUGUAUCUAUGGUAACAGUAAGAUGUUUGUGUGAAUAACUGAAAAAAAAAAAAAAGUCUUUCAAAUCUCUUCUUCUAAA
ensembl:lncRNA LINC00683 long intergenic non-protein coding RNA 683